rnacentral:rRNA from 1 species
GAUGAACGCUGGCGGCGUGCCUAAUACAUGCAAGUCGAGCGAACGGACGAGAAGCUUGCUUCUCUGAUGUUAGCGGCGGACGGGUGAGUAACACGUGGAUAACCUACCUAUAAGACUGGGAUAACUUCGGGAAACCGGAGCUAAUACCGGAUAAUAUUUUGAACCGCAUGGUUCAAAAGUGAAAGACGGUCUUGCUGUCACUUAUAGAUGGAUCCGCGCUGCAUUAGCUAGUUGGUAAGGUAACGGCUUACCAAGGCAACGAUGCAUAGCCGACCUGAGAGGGUGAUCGGCGACACUGGAACUGAGACACGGUCCAGGCUCCUACGGGAGGCAGCAGUAGGGAAUCGUCCGCAAUGGGCGAAAGCCUGACGGAGCAGCGCCGCGUGAGUGAUGAAGGUCUUCGGAUCGUAAAACUCUGUUAUUAGGGAAGAACAUAUGUGUAAGUAACUGUGCACAUCGUGACGGUACCUGAUCAGGAAGCCACGGCUAACUACGUG